rnacentral:ncRNA from 1 species
UUAUCUUCAGGGCAGAGUGAAAGUCUCUACCGGCAGUUAUAGUCUGCGAGCCUAUGGGUUGAUUUGGUGAAAUUCCAAAACCGACGGUUAUAGUCCGGAUAAGAGAAGAUA